UGCUCGAGUGGCGAACUGGUGAGUAACACGUGAGUAACCUGCCCUUGACUUUGGGAUAACUUCAGGAAACUGGGGCUAAUACCGGAUAGGAGCUCCUGCUGCAUGGUGGGGGUUUGAAAGUUUCGGCGGUUGGGGAUGGACUCGCGGCUUAUCAGCUUGUUGGUGGGGUAGUGGCUUACCAAGGCUUUGACGGGUAGCCGGCCUGAGAGGGUGACCGGCCACAUUGGGACUGAGAUACGGCCCAG
rnacentral:rRNA from 1 species